GGAUGGCAGCUCUCCAGCACCAGAGGGAAAGCUGCAUUUCUGCCUCCAGUAUCUGCCGAGGGAGGCCCAUCCCGGAGGGAAAGGGCAGCAUUACCAUACUGAGAGACCUCUAUCUGCUGCUUGUGAGAAGCAUCACACUCACAUGCUUUCAUCCAGAUGGAGAAUUUCAACCAUCCAGACAUCUAGUGGGAAAGCAAUACAGAUGGUUGAGAGCAAUCCAGGAGAUUCCUGGAGUGCAUAGAGGACAAUUUCCUGGUCCAGGUAUUGGACAAACCACCCAGAGGAGAAGUAUUGCUGGACCUGGUGCUCACAUAUGCAGGCUUUGAGAAGUAAUAUCUAAUAUGAAAAUCCUAGAAGUGAUUUACAAAAAACUAUGAUG